GCCAGUAUAGUGGAUAUGACCCUCGGCUUGUAACCGAGUGUACUCAGGUUCGAAUCCUGAAUAAGGCA